rnacentral:rRNA from 1 species
UACAGAGGGUGCUAGCGUUGUUCGGAAUCAUUGGGCGUAAAGGGCGUGUAGGCGGUUUGUUAAGUCAUGUGUGAAAUCCCUCGGCUCAACCGGGGAACGACGCAUGAAACUGGCAAGCUAGAGUACCAAAGAGGGGGGGUGGAAUUCCCGGUGUAGCGGUGAAAUACGUAGAGAUUGGGAAGAACACCAGUGGCGAAGGCGAGUCCCUGGACGAUACCUGACACUGAGGCACGAAAGCCAAGGGAGCAAACAGG